GUUACACGUGGUCUGCAGUUGUGAGGCCAGUUGGAUGUACUGCCAAAUUCUCUGAAACGCCUUUGGAGACUGCUUAUUGUAGAGAAAUGAACAUUCAAUUCAAGGGAAUAGCUCUGGUGGACAUUCCUGCAAUCAGCAUGCCAAUCUCACGCUCCCUCAAAACUUGCAUAAUCUGUGCCAUUGCGCUGUGUGAUAAAACUGCACAUUUUAAAGUGGCCAGCCUAAGGCACAUCUUUGCAAUAAUCAUGCUGUCUAAUCAGCAUAUUGAUAUGCCACACCUGUGAGGUGGAUGGAUUAUCUUGGCUCACUAACACAGAUUUAGACAGAUUUGUGAACAAUAUUUGAGAGAAAUAGGCCUUUUGUGUACAUAGAAAGUCUUCGAUCUUUGAGUUCAGCUCAUGAAAAAUGGGGGUAAAAACAAAAGUAUUGCGUUUAUAAUUUUGUUCAGUGUACAUACAUAUACAAAGCAUAGGGAAACACAUAUAAAGAACAUCUAGGAUAAUAUAUGACACUGUUUUCUUAUCUGUAACUUUAUUCUUUU